UACGUAGGGGGCGAGCGUUGUCCGGAUUUAUUGGGCGUAAAGAGCGUGUAGGCGGCCAGGUAGGUCUGCUGUGAAAACUCGAGGCUCAACCUCGAGACGUCGGCGGAAACCAUCUGGCUAGAGUCCGGAAGAGGGGAGUGGAAUUCCUGGUGUAGCGGUGAAAUGCGCAGAUAUCAGGAAGAACACCCGUGGCGAAGGCGGCUCUCUGGGACGGUACUGACGCUGAGACGCGAAAGCGUGGGGAGCGAACAGG
rnacentral:rRNA from 1 species